AACCGCACGACAACCGAAGCAGUCCACGCGUCCACCACCUUCUCGCAUGUCGCGCCACCUCCUCCUCCUCCUCGCGCUCCUCCUCCUCCUCCUCCUCUUCCCGCUCGCCACGUCCGCACAGCCGCCGCCGCCGUCGAACACCUCCGCCUCCACCUCCGCCGCGGCCGUCCUCCUCUCCUUCCUCGACUCCCUCCCACCCGCCUCCCAGCGCCUCCUCCUCCCGUCAUGGCGGCAAAGCCGAAGCAGCAGCAGCAGCGGCAAUGCCACCGCGCCUCCACCGCACUGCGCGUUUCUUGGCGUCACAUGCUCCGACACCGGCGCGGUGGCGGCGCUCAACCUCUCCGGGGUGGGGCUCACCGGCGCGCUCUCCGCCUCCGCGCCGCGCCUCUGCGCGCUCCCGGCCUCCGCGCUCCCCGUGCUCGACCUCAGCGGGAACGGCUUCACCGGCGCGGUCCCCGCCGCGCUCGCCGCGUGCGCCGGGGUCGCCACGCUCCUCCUCGGCGGGAACAACCUCUCCGGCGGGGUUCCCCCGGAGUUGCUCUCCUCGCGCCAGCUCGUCGAGGUCGACCUCAACGGCAACGCGCUCACCGGGGAGAUCCCCGCCCCCGCCGGCUCGCCGGUGGUGCUCGAGUACCUCGACCUCAGCGGCAACUCCCUCUCCGGCGCCGUCCCGCCGGAGCUCGCCGCGCUCCCGGAUCUCCGGUACUUGGACCUCAGCAUCAACCGGCUCACCGGCCCAAUGCCGGAGUUCCCGGUCCACUGCCGGCUGAAAUUCCUCGGCCUCUACCGCAACCAGAUCGCCGGCGAGCUCCCCAAGAGCCUCGGCAACUGCGGCAACCUCACCGUCUUGUUCCUGUCCUACAACAAUCUCACCGGCGAGGUGCCCGAUUUCUUCGCCUCCAUGCCCAAUCUGCAGAAGCUCUACCUUGACGACAACCAUUUCGCCGGUGAGUUGCCGGCGAGCAUUGGUGAGCUGGUGAGCUUGGAAAAGCUGGUGGUGACGGCGAACAGGUUCACCGGAACAAUCCCGGAAACAAUUGGGAAUUGCCGGUGUUUGAUUAUGCUGUACUUAAACAGCAACAACUUCACCGGCUCAAUUCCGGCGUUCAUCGGCAAUUUGAGCAGAUUGGAGAUGUUCUCAAUGGCAGAAAAUGGCAUUACUGGGAGCAUUCCACCUGAAAUUGGGAAAUGCCGGCAAUUGGUUGACCUUCAACUCCAUAAGAACAGCCUCACCGGGACGAUACCGCCGGAGAUCGGUGAGCUAAGCCGAUUACAGAAGCUCUACCUGUACAACAACUUACUCCAUGGUCCAGUUCCUCAAGCAUUGUGGCGAUUGGUUGACAUGGUGGAGUUGUUUCUCAACGACAACAGAUUAAGUGGUGAGGUACAUGAAGAUAUCACUCAAAUGAGUAAUCUAAGAGAGAUCACCUUGUACAACAACAACUUCACCGGCGAGCUGCCACAAGCCCUGGGGAUGAACACAACAUCAGGGCUUCUUCGUGUGGACUUCACUCGCAACCGCUUUCGCGGCGCAAUUCCUCCAGGAUUGUGCACGAGAGGCCAGCUUGCCGUUCUUGAUCUUGGUAACAACCAGUUUGAUGGGGGCUUUUCUAGUGGGAUAGCAAAAUGUGAGUCUCUAUACAGGGUUAAUCUGAACAACAACAAGCUCAGUGGGAGCUUGCCUGCAGAUUUGAGCACCAACAGAGGUGUGACACACCUCGACAUUAGUGGAAAUCUGCUCAAAGGGAGGAUACCUGGUGCGCUUGGUUUAUGGCACAAUCUUACAAGGCUUGAUGUAUCUGGCAACAAAUUCUCAGGUCCAAUACCACAUGAACUCGGGGCUCUAAGUAUUCUUGACACCCUGCUCAUGUCAUCGAACAGGCUGACCGGAGCAAUACCACAUGAGUUGGGGAAUUGCAAGAGGCUUGCCCAUUUGGAUCUUGGAAAUAACCUUCUCAAUGGAAGUAUACCUGCAGAAAUUACAACACUUAGUGGCCUGCAAAAUCUUUUGCUUGGUGGAAACAAGCUCGCUGGACCAAUUCCGGAUUCUUUCACCGCAACGCAGAGCCUCCUUGAGCUGCAACUUGGUAGCAAUAAUUUGGAAGGAGGCAUCCCACAGAGCGUAGGCAACCUUCAGUACAUAUCACAAGGUCUGAAUAUUAGCAAUAACAGACUAAGCGGCCCAAUCCCGCACAGCCUUGGUAAUCUUCAGAAACUGGAAGUGCUCGACUUGUCAAAUAACUCAUUAUCUGGUCCUAUUCCAUCGCAGCUAAGUAACAUGAUCUCACUUUCUGUUGUGAACAUUUCGUUCAAUGAGCUAUCUGGUCAGCUCCCUGAUGGAUGGGAUAAGAUUGCAACACGGUUACCUCAAGGGUUUCUAGGGAAUCCUCAGUUGUGUGUACCAUCCGGAAAUGCACCUUGCACAAAGUAUCAAUCUGCGAAAAACAAAAGAAGGAACACACAAAUUAUUGUGGCAUUGCUAGUGUCAACUCUUGCUUUGAUGAUUGCUAGUCUGGUUAUUAUUCAUUUCAUUGUGAAGAGGUCUCAGCGUCUAUCUGCAAAUCGUGUAUCAAUGCGCAACCUGGACUCCACCGAAGAAUUGCCAGAAGACUUGACAUAUGAAGACAUUCUUCGGGCCACUGAUAACUGGAGUGAGAAAUACGUCAUUGGAAGAGGCCGGCAUGGCACAGUCUACCGGACUGAGCUUGCAGUUGGAAAGCAGUGGGCAGUCAAGACAGUUGAUUUGUCCCAGUGCAAAUUCCCUAUUGAAAUGAAGAUAUUGAACACGGUGAAGCACCGGAACAUUGUGAGGAUGGCUGGGUACUGCAUCCGUAGCAACAUCGGCCUAAUUCUCUAUGAGUACAUGCCCGAGGGGACACUCUUUGAGCUAUUGCAUGAAAGGACACCUCAAGUGUCCCUUGACUGGAACGUCCGGCACCAGAUCGCCCUUGGUGUGGCGGAGAGCUUGUCCUAUCUUCACCAUGACUGUGUGCCCAUGAUUAUCCAUAGAGAUGUCAAAUCGAGCAACAUCCUGAUGGAUGCUGAGCUAGUACCCAAGCUCACAGAUUUUGGGAUGGGGAAGAUCAUUGAUGAUGAUGAUGCAGACGCGACAGUGUCUGUCGUUGUUGGCACCCUUGGUUAUAUUGCUCCAGAGCAUGGAUACUCCACGAGAUUAAGCGAGAAGAGUGAUGUAUACAGUUAUGGAGUAGUGCUUCUUGAACUGUUGUGUCGGAAGAUGCCUGUGGAUCCUGCAUUUGGAGAUGGUGUGGACAUUGUGACUUGGAUGGGGUCAAAUCUGAAUCAGGCAGAUCACUCCAACAUCAUGAGGUUCCUGGAUGAGGAGAUAAUAUACUGGCCUGAACAUGAGAAGGCGAAGGUGUUGGACUUGUUGGAUUUAGCGAUGACCUGCACUCAGGUUUCUUGCCAGUUAAGGCCAUCCAUGAGGGAGGUGGUGAGCAUCUUGAUGAGGAUUGAGAGAAGUAAUCACGUUCAGUUCUUUGAAGAAGCUCCAUGAGAUCGACUAUAUCCUAUCAUUUGUGAAAUAGAAGAUACAAUUGUACAGUGUAUUUCAAGUGCGUUAUAAUUUUGUUUCUGCAAACUUUCACAAGACCUUGGCAAAGUGGAUUGCAGCCAAAAAUCAGGUUGAUCUUCAGCAGAAAACAUCAAACAGAUUUGGAGCUAUAAUCACCAAGUUUCUAUCCUCCUGUCAUCAGGUUUGGGGGUUGGCUAUUUCCUCCUGUGGUGGCAUGUGUUUGUCACCUCACUACCUUAGGCUUUUUCUUCUUAGAGUAUGUCUUUGACUACCCUUUGAAUGAAACUUUCCAAGGCUUUGAUCAAUCAGCACCACCUAUGGGUAAUUUUACCAUCCUUGAGAAAGCACCUAGAGGUACCAUAUUUUCUAGUCUAAAAUCUGAUAUCUCUAGGUACAAAAUAUCUCAAGGUACAAAAAAAAUUUUAGUGUAAAAUUUAGGUACCUCACGGUACAUUCUCAAGGACUGUAAAAUUCCUCACCACCUAAUCAUUUGAUAUCUCAAUCUUCUUAACCACCUAAUCAUUUGAUAUCUCAAUCUUCUUAGAGGCCUAGAGAACCUUGUCCGAUAAUGUUUAUUGCAUCCAAUGGAGACUAGUUGGUCUUUGUUAUAAACUUUUAUAUGUGUUUAAUACUUUGAUUUGAGCAGUCCGAUUGAUAUUGCCAUGUAUUUUAAUUGUUCUGAAAAUUUCUGAUUUCUUGCCCCUUGAAGAGUUUUCAUUUUUGGUUUGUUCAGACAUUUCCUCAAUGAAUAGCUCAUGAACCAUUUUGAUUAUUUUUACAUAUCGAAGAUUUUUCUGUACAUACAUUAUCUGAUUGUCAGAUGCGAAAUCCUCAAAACAUGUGAGCUUCUUGAGCUGCACUUAUUUUCAAAACUAUCAUGAUAAAUAGACACGAAAAGGUUUACUGUCCUAUCUAGCAAAUUGAAGGAUAAUUAGUCCUCCUCACUAGGGAUGAAAACGAAUCGGAUACGGACGGAAACUAGCUUUAUUAUAUUCGUUUUCAUAUUUUUUUCGGGAAUCGGAAUCGAAAACUCAGAUACGGAAAUGAAAUCGAAUAUUAUCGAAUACAGAUACGGAGCGAAUACAAGACGGAACGAAUACGGUAGCGGAUAUUUACCGGUAUAUAAAAAACCCCUCAAAUUGAGUUUCUUGAUCAAGGAAGAGAUAUCGCUUAUUAUUUUAGUUCAACAUCUCCAAUAUUUAUAUAGUCAAUUUUAUAGACGGUCCCACAAACCUAUGUGAAAAUCGAUUUUCAUGGCUAUUCCUCUUAAAGAUCCAUAUACAAAUAUGAUUACCAUUUUCUAUUCUCAUGACCUUUUACUAGAUGUAUAACUUACUUACCAUUGUAUAAAUUGGAGAUGUUAUUUAUUUUACUUCACAUCUUCAAAACUUGUAAUGUUUGUUUUAUACUUUAAAUGCUUUCAAAUAC